UCUGGUAAUGAUGGCAGAGAGGUCACACCCGUUCCCAUACCGAACACGGAAGUUAAGCUCUCUAGCGCCGAUGGUAGUUGGGACCUUGUCCCU
rnacentral:rRNA from 1 species